GCCUGCAAUUAAUGCUGACAUAAAGGACAGUCUUGCUUGAUCCCGUCUGAUCUCAGAAACUAAGCAGGGUAGGGCCUGAUUAAUACUUAGAUGGGAGACCACCUGGGAAGACCAGGUACUGUAGGUG
ensembl:rRNA 5S_rRNA 5S ribosomal RNA